UUGAAGAUCAAAUUCCAAGAAUUCACGAAUCAUCAGCCUCGAGGACAAGGCUGAUUUGAAGAGGGCGGGUCUUUUAGGACUCUAGCUUGAAGAGUCCUAAUUGAGAGGGACAUUCAUGUAAAACUGUUAGGACUCUAGCUAGGAGAGUCCUAAUUGAGAGGGACAUUCUAUUAGGACUCUAGCUAGGAGAGUCCUAAUUGACAGGGGCAUUCAUGUAGGAGG
rnacentral:lncRNA from 1 species